AUGGAAGGAUUAUUGCACUGGGAUUUUGCUCCUGGCCUUGCUUUGGCCGAUCAGGUGAGAAGGAAGUUCGGAUCAACAGUCCAUUUUUCUCCCUCUCGAGACACCAAGGAGUUCUUUUUGGUUGUUUCAUUCUCUUCGGCCUCCUUCCCCCUCACGGUGGAUUCUGUUGGAAUUGCUUUGCAAUGUUGCAUUGGA
rnacentral:rRNA from 1 species